rnacentral:rRNA from 1 species
CCCUUAGAUGUUCUGGGCGGCCCGCGCACUACAAUGGCGUGUGCAGCGAGUGCCGAAGUAGAGUUUUCCGAGGUAUUCUUGCAAUGCUCGUUUUGAUGGGGAUAGACCCUUGCAACUGUUGGUUUUGAACGAGGAAUUCCUUGUAAGCAUGGUUUAUCAUCCGACGCUGAAUGCGUCCCUGCCCUUUGUACACACAGCCCGUCGCUCCUACCGAUGAGUCGUCCGGUGAAGUUCGUAGACCUCGUGAUCGCGGAUCACUGGGGGAAGCAAAAUGAACCUCGCGGUUUAGAGGAAGGAGAAGUCGUAACA